ensembl:lncRNA novel transcript
GCAUCCUCGCUCGAUGAGUCUGGGCUGAAAGGCCGGCAUCGCGCGUCAGUGAAGGAUAGUGUCGCUGGUGGCCGGGCUGGGGCGAGGGGCGUCCGAUGCCUUCACCUUUUCUGGUUUCCGGUUUGACGCCGUGGCGUAGGUGCUGCGGGCUUGCAACCUAGUGUGGACUGGUGGGGCUCAGGAGAUUUCUGAGCUUCUCGAACUCCGUAUUGCUUGGCGUCCUACGGGAGUUGGACGAGAGGCUGGGACCAGUGUAGAUUCCACUGGGCAGGGGAGCAAAAGCUCUGCACUGCCUUGAAUGAGUAUGGAAGGGUCGGUCUAACUGCUUAAUAAGUCGGGGUGGAUCCAGGAGGGAGAAAUAGACCGGAGGUCCGGCUUCUCGGUUCAGAUCUUUAGGCUUAACUUCUGAUUUUGUGAAAUGAACGCAGCUGGACGUAUGAUAGAUCUCAAGAUGUCUGUGAUUGUGUAUUUGUGAAUUGAUGAAAGGAAUGUAGAUCUCAGUAAUAACAAUUAUCAUAUGCAAUGUAAAAAUUGCAGUACCCCGAGAAAUGUUGAGAACCUUUAAUUUGGUAAUACGACUUCCAAGAAUAAACUUGAGCAAGUAGCAUGCAUCUGUGAUCUCCAAAAUCAUUGCAGCAAUUACAAAGAAAAUUUUCAAAGAACCAUGAUGGCAAAAGCUAAGAAAAUGGCUAAAUAAACAUGGUUAGCUUUAUGAAAAUGAUAUUAAAAACUAUGGUAACAAUAAUAAAGGAUCCCAUGUUCCUUUAUUAUAUUAUUGCGCUAAGUCGAAAAAUGGAAAAUUUUAAGAAAAUACUCAAAAGCUGUUGCCCACUUUUCUGUAUUUUUCUUUGUUUUGAUUUCUCUGUAUUAAAGCUGGUUUCACUGGUAUAGUGGGAGGAACACUUUUUAAAUGAAAGAUUCCUAAUGAUGAAGCCCCUGAAGCACCAGAAGGCACCUUGAUCUUUUAUUGAGGAGUGCUGCUUACCUAUAGCAGAGGAACACUUUGAUACUGAUUCCGUGUUUACGGUAUUAAGGGUUGAUUUCAGGCGUUCUUUUAAACUUUAAUGAAAAAGUGGAGUCUCCUAACUAUGAUGACAAUCAAAUAAAAUACAUAAAGUAACUUUGCAAGUAUAAGUUGCUCAUUUUUUUUGGAUCGCCUCAGUUCAGAGGAAUUAUACUGAUUUAUUAUGAGGAAAGAGCUGCCAGAGGAAACAGCUAGUGCAUUAAGUCCUAAGUGGGGAGUCAAGGAUGAUUUUUGGCUGGAAGAACUGGAAAGACGAAGUUCUGUUGACCAAAAUAAGUGAGGAAGACAGAAUCAAAUUUGGCAAGGAAGGUGGCAUUACAUCUUUAAAUGACUCCUAGAUGAAAGAAAAUCAAGCAAAAUUAAGUUUUUUUCUCCUAACAGAAUAAUAAAAACAACCUACCAAAAGAAAUGAGAUGCAGCAAAGCAACAAACAUACAAGGUUUACGUUAGAAAAAGGUUACUUUUGGUUGCCAGUUGCAAUCCAGUAAAUGUACCUCUUUAUUUUCAUUCCUAUUUCAUUAACAAAAUUUUUGGUAAAGCAUCCUUUUCAAACCUUAUGUAUCACUGUAAAUAAACCCUACAUGCUUCAGAA